rnacentral:rRNA from 1 species
UUAAAUUGAAGAGUUUGAUCAUGGCUCAGAUUGAACGCUGGCGGCAGGCCUAACACAUGCAAGUCGAGCGGAAACGAGUUAUCUGAACCUUC